rnacentral:tRNA from 1 species
UCCCGUGUGGCUCAGUUGGUAGAGCAUGGUGUUUGCAACACCAGGGUUGUGGGUUUGAUUCCCAUGGGGAA